AAUAUUGGACAAUGGGCGAAAGCCUGAUCCAGCCAUGCAGCGUGUGUGAAGAAGGUCUUCGGAUUGUAAAGCACUUUAAGUUGGGAGGAAGAGUUGUAGGCUAAUACCUUGCAAUUUUGACGUUACCAACAGAAUAAGCACCGGCUAACUUCGUGCCAGCAGCCGCGGUAAUACGAAGGGUGCAAGCGUUAAUCGGAAUUACUGGGCGUAAAGCGCGCGUAGGUAGUUUGUUAAGUUGGAAGUGAAAGCCCCGCGCUUAACCUGGGAACUGCUUUCAUAACUGCUGAUCUAGAGUACGGUAGAGGGUAGUGGAAUUUCCUGUGUAGCGGUGAAAUGCGUAGAUAUAGGAAGGAACACCAGUGGCGAAGGCGACCACCUGGGCUAAUACUGACACUGAGGUGCGAAAGCGUGGGGAGCAAACAGG
rnacentral:rRNA from 1 species